rfam:Exophiala oligosperma strain CBS 72588 unplaced genomic scaffold supercont1.7, whole genome shotgun sequence.
GGUUUUGUAGUGUAGCGGUUAUCACUCCGGAUUCUGAAAGAGUUUUUCGUCAAAUUCAAAAUGAGUUUUCCGGCAACCCCGGUUCGAAUCCGGGCAAGACCU